UACGUAGGGACCAAGCGUUGUCCGGAAUCAUUGGGCGUAAAGAGCGCGUAGGCGGCCCUGUAAGUCCGCUGUGAAAGUCAAGGGCUCAACCCUUGGAUGCCGGUGGAUACUGCAGGGCUAGAGUCCGGAAGAGGCGAGUGGAAUUCCUGGUGUAGCGGUGAAAUGCGCAGAUAUCAGGAGGAACACCGAUGGCGAAGGCAGCUCGCUGGAACGGUACUGACGCUGAGGCGCGAAAGCGUGGGGAGCAAACAGG
rnacentral:rRNA from 1 species